rnacentral:rRNA from 1 species
CGUAGGGUGCGAGCGUUGUCCGGAAUUACUGGGCGUAAAGAGCUCGUAGGUGGUUUGUCGCGUUGUCCGUGAAAACUCACAGCUUAACUGUGGGCGUGCGGGCGAUACGGGCAGACUGGAGUACUGCAGGGGAGACUGGAAUUCCUGGUGUAGCGGUGGAAUGCGCAGAUAUCAGGAGGAACACCGGUGGCGAAGGCGGGUCUCUGGGCAGUAACUGACGCUGAGGAGCGAAAGCGUGGGGAGCGAACAGGAUUAGAUACCCUGGUAGUCCACGCCGUAAACGGUGGGUACUAGGUGUGGGUUUCCUUCCUUGGGAUCCGUGCCGUAGCUAACGCAUUAAGUACCCCGCCUGGGGAGUACGGCCGCAAGGCUA